rnacentral:lncRNA from 1 species
GCUACUGAAAGAUGAGAAGCUUGUUAGGAGCUUUUAUGCUUCAAUGAAAAUGGUGAAAGGAUUAGGCAUGGGACGGAAAGAUAGAUACAUGCUUAAUGAUUACAUCUACAAGGAGGACCAACUGAAGAGCUCAUGUAAUGUAUGCGGUGAAAGUCGAUUUAACCCAAGGUAAGAGGAUAAAAAUUAGAAAGACACACCAUAUAAGGUUCUUCGAUACCUUCCCCUCACCCUGAUUUUAGAAGCUUUACUUAUCCAAGAGUACUACCGACAGAUGAGAUGGCACAAAAAAAAAAAUUACAAGCACAU